rnacentral:rRNA from 1 species
UACGGAGGGGGCGAGCGUUGUCCGAAUUUACUGGGCGUAAAGCGCGUGUAGGCGGUUUCCUAAGUCAGUAGUGAAAUCUUGCGGCUCAACCGCAAAACUGCUUCUGAAACUGGGAGGCUUGAGCGUGGGAGAGGAAAGUGGAAUUCCUGGUGUAGCGGUGAAAUGCGUAGAUAUCAGGAGGAACACCCGUGGCGAAGGCGGCUUUCUGGCCCACUGCUGACGCUGAGACGCGAAAGCCAGGGGAGCGAACGGG